CGUAAAUAGAAACCUUGUGCUCCCUUGAGCUGCAGCCGUCACCUCUGUUAGGGUUUGGAAUCACCAUAGCUAAGCGAGCUCAAUCUCGUUCUUCCACUCCGCCUCUCAAAGUUACUCCUCGAACUAUUGUUUUCCACCGUUCGAGUAUCGGAGCUCUAGCUAACAUUUCCCAGAUGCGAGAAACACCUGCGGGCAACAGGGAGAUGAUGGUUCCGCUGCAUAAUCUGCAUGGCUGGAUCUUAGUUUCUUUGGGCUUUCUUUAGGGCUUUGUCCCAGGUAUUGCGAUAAGCUUUAUAACUCUACUUGUAUUUGUUAGACUUUUCAACCUUUUUGCUUUUGG